AUGACUGCUGGUGGGGGCGUCUGGGGGCUUACCCCAGAGGUCAAACUUGGAGCUUUAAUAACAUUUUUACACUUGCAUUCUAGCUAGCGGUGGCAGGCUAUUAACUUGGCUAACACUGAGGUACACAAGAUCAGUGCUGCAUUGUGCAUUAUCUUCUUAUUUGAAGUAAGAAAUAAUGACAGCUGUUGGAAAUGUCCUUAUUGACGAUGCAUUGCCACCACAGCAUCUUAUUUGUACUAGUGAGCGUGUCUGGACCCGCGGUAGCGUUGGAUUCUCGGCAAAGAUUUUGCUUUGACAUUUUUCCGUUUUCAGCCCAAAUGUUGUCGUUCUGUUUUAGCAUUUUGCAUUUGACAGACUAGACUCCAGGGACAUUGAAUCAAUUGUGUGUGUUUAUCAUCUUAGUCUGCUGUGAUGCUGCUACAAAAAAGUGCAAAGGAUAGGAAUUUAGGUUUACUGGCACCCGCUGAGCCAAUCGUGAGGAUUUCCACGCUGCAAGAACGAUGAAAAUGACAACCCAGUCUUCCAGCUCUUUCAUUUUGUAGCGAGUGUACAACGACCAUUCACAAGCACGCAUGAUGGUGCAGUGCAGGGACAAAAGAAAUCCACAAAACGGAGAAUGUUGCCAUCACAGUGCAAGUCGACAAUGGUUCAUCAUCGAUUCUUAACACCUUGUAACUUCAGCUCGACAAGGCUGCGAGCACCAAUCAUUAAUGAGUCGGUUCUCGAGGAAAACAUUUGGAACCUGGCUGGACCCAAAGCGUUUAAGCUAAAGCUCUGGUCGAAACGUCCGAGCGCGACGUUUGCAAGAUACCUGAGCAAGGUGACAUUCAAGCGAACGAAGAGCUGCAGCUCCCUCUUAUCCGAUGACCAUCUGGCUCCGAAGUGCAGCGAUACGCGGCAUGGCUGUCAUUCCGCAGCGACAUUAAUGAGCAACCUCCGCGGGGGUCAGAAGACUUACUGUCGAGAAGCCGCAGACGGCUCAGGCUGCCGAAAGGGACUGAGUGGAAGCAAUCUUAUUAACUCGAGGCCCUUACUAAACGUCUUGGGUCUACCCGACGCGACGCAAAUGUGUAAGAAAGUUGUCGUUGUGUGACGCCAGACAGGAAAUAAAAGUUUCAGCUUACAUAGACA